GACGAACGCUGGCGGCGUGCCUAAUACAUGCAAGUAGAACGCUGAAGGAGGAGCUUGCUUCUCUGGAUGAGUUGCGAACGGGUGAGUAACGCGUAGGUAACCUGCCUGGUAGCGGGGGAUAACUAUUGGAAACGAUAGCUAAUACCGCAUAAGAGUAGAUGUUGCAUGACAUUUGCUUAAAAGGUGCAAUUGCAUCACUACCAGAUGGACCUGCGUUGUAUUAGCUAGUUGGUGGGGUAACGGCUCACCAAGGCGACGAUACAUAGCCGACCGGAGAGGGGGAGCGGCCACACUGGGACUGAGACACGGCCCAGACUCAUACAGGAAGCAGCAGUAGGGAAUCUUGAGCAAUGGACGGAAGUCUGACCGAGCAACGCCGCGUGAGUGAAGAAGGAUUUCGGAUCGGAAAGCUCUGUUGUAAGAGAAGAAAGAGUGUGAGAGUGGAAAGUUCACACUGUGACGGUAUCUUACCAGAAAGGGACGGCUAACUACGUG
rnacentral:rRNA from 1 species